GUGAGGAAUAUUGGUCAAUGGGCGGAAGCCUGAACCAGCCAUCCCGCGUGGAGGAAGACGGCCCUAUGGGUUGUAAACUGCUUUUAUACGGGAGCAAUAAGGUCUAUGCAUAGAUUGAUGAGAGUACCGUAUGAAUAAGCAUCGGCUAACUCCGUGCCAGCAGCCGCGGUAAUACGGAGGAUGCGAGCGUUAUCCGGAUUUAUUGGGUUUAAAGGGUGCGUAGGCGGCUUUGUAAGUCAGCGGUGAAAUUUUGCAGCUUAACUGUAAAAGCGCCGUUGAUACUGUGAAGCUAGGAUUUGGUUGCUGUGGGCGGAAUGUGUGGUGUAGCGGUGAAAUGCAUAGAGAUCACACAGAAUAUCGAUUGCGAAGGCAGCUCACAAAGCCAAUAUUGACGCUGAGGCACGAAAGUGUGGGGAUCAAACAGGAUUAGAUACCCCGGUAGUCC
rnacentral:rRNA from 1 species